rnacentral:rRNA from 1 species
UUGCCAGACUCCUACGGGAGGCAGCAGUGGGGAAUAUUGGGCAAUGGAGGCAACUCUUACCCAGCAAUGCCGCUUGAAUGAAGAAGGUCUUCGGAUUGUAAAUUUCUUUAAUUGGGGACGAAAAAAAUGACGGUACCCAAGGAAUAAGCCCCGGCUAACUACGUGCCAGCAGCCGCGGUAAUACGUAGGGGGCAAGCGUUAUCCGGAUUUACUGGGUGUAAAGGGAGCGUAGACGGCAGUGCAAGUCUGGAGUGAAAGGCGGGGGCUCAGCCCCCGGACUGCUCUGGAAACUGUACGGCUGGAGUGCAGGAGAGGUAAGUGGAAUUCCUAGUGUAGCGGUGAAAUGCGUAGAUAUUAGGAGGAACACCAGUGGCGAAGGCGGCUUACUGGACUGUAACUGACGUUGAGGCUCGAAAGCGUGGGGAGCAAACAGGAUUAGAUACCCCUGUA